UGUCCUACGGGGCGCAGCAGUGGGGAAUAUUGCACAAUGGGCGAAAGCCUGAUGCAGCAACGCCGCGUGAAGGAAGAAGGCCUUCGGGUCGUAAACUUCUGUCCUUGGGGAAGAAAAAUGACGGUACCUGAGUAAGACGCACCGGCUAAAUACGUGCCAGCAGCCGCGGUAAUACGUAUGGUGCAAGCGUUAUCCGGAUUUACUGGGUGUAAAGGGAGCGCAGGCGGUGCGGCAAGUCUGAUGUGAAAGCCCGGGGCUCAACCCCGGGACUGCAUUGGAAACUACCGAACUAGAGUGUCGGAGAG
rnacentral:rRNA from 1 species